rnacentral:rRNA from 1 species
AACGAACGCUGGCGGCAGGCUUAACACAUGCAAGUCGAGCGCCCCGCAAGGGGAGCGGCAGACGGGUGAGUAACGCGUGGGAACGUACCUUUUGGUUCGGAACAACUCCGGGAAACUGGAGCUAAUACCGGAUAAGCCCUAACGGGGAAAGAUUUAUCGCCGAAAGAUCGGCCCGCGUCUGAUUAGCUAGUUGGUGAGGUAACGGCUCACCAAGGCGACGAUCAGUAGCUGGUCUGAGAGGAUGAUCAGCCACACUGGGACUGAGACACGGCCCAGACUCCUACGGGAGGCAGCAGUGGGGAAUAUUGGACAAUGGGCGCAAGCCUGAUCCAGCCAUGCCGCCUGAGUGAUGAAGGCCUUAGGGUUGUAAAGCUCUUUUGUCCGGGAAGAUAAUGACUGUACCGGAAGAAUAAGCCCCGGCUAACUUCGUG